rnacentral:rRNA from 1 species
GACGAACGCUGGCGGCGUGCCUAAUACAUGCAAGUCGAGCGAAUCUUUGGGAGCUUGCUCCCAAAGAUUAGCGGCGGACGGGUGAGUAACACGUGGGCAACCUGCCUAUGAGACUGGGAUAACUCCGGGAAACCGGGGCUAAUACCGGAUAAUUCUUUUCUACACAUGUAGAAAAAUUGAAAGAUGGUUUCGGCUAUCACUCAUAGAUGGGCCCGCGGCGCAUUAGCUAGUUGGUGAGGUAACGGCUUACCAAGGCGACGAUGCGUAGCCGACCUGAGAGGGUGAUCGGCCACACUGGGACUGAGACACGGCCCAGACUCCUACGGGAGGCAGCAGUAGGGAAUCUUCCGCAAUGGACGAAAGUCUGACGGAGCAACGCCGCGUGAGUGAUGAAGGUUUUCGGAUCGUAAAACUCUGUUGUUAGGGAAGAACAAGUACCGGAGUAACUGCCGGUACCUUGACGGUACCUAACCAGAAAGCCACGGCUAACUACGUGCCAGCCGCCGCGGUAAUAC